rfam:Erythranthe guttata cultivar DTN x IM62 scaffold_51_contig_17, whole genome shotgun sequence.
GUUGGAAAAUUCCAAAGGGAUCGCAUUGAUCUGAUGAUCGAUGUUUAAUAUAUAUAUAUUCGUUUUCCGAUCUUUGGAUCAUGCGAUCCCUUAGGAAUUCUCCGU